AACUUUUAACAACGGAUCUAUUGGCUCUCGCAUCGAUGAAGAACGCAGCGAAAUGCGAUAAGUAAUGUGAAUUGCAGAAUUCAGUGAAUCAUCGAAUCUUUGAACGCACCUUGCACCCUUUGGCAUUCCGAAGGGUAUGCUCGUUUGAGUGUCAUUGUACUCUCACACUCCCGAUGCUGAUGGACUGGGAGUGGUUGACUUGGGUGUUGCUGCUUUACUGUGGGUCACCUCAAAUGGAGUAGUGCAACUCUUGGUUGGACAUAGUACGGCGUGGUAAGUGUCUUCGCCGGCGCCUCGUUAGGGGGUGGCCGAUCGGGCGCUCUGUGCUUCAAACCGUCUUCGGACAACAUCUGACAACUUGCCCUCAAAUCGAGUAGGACUCCCCGCUAAAAUUAAGCAUAUCAAUAAGCGGAGGCU
rnacentral:misc_RNA from 1 species